CUUCUUUCUGUUUCAAUGCAUCAUUAGAUAGCUGAUUACCCCCUAUACCUAUACGACCGCAGUUCGGCUGAUUUAUGUUCAAAAUUUCAUUCAAAGUUACCCUACCAGUAUUAAACUUAGAAAUAACAUCUUGGGUUUGAGCAAAUUUAGCCUUCAAGCUAUCUGUUUCUCUACUAGAAGAAAUAACAUUUUGUUCAAGAGUAGAAAUUCUUACCUUCAACACUUUAUUUUCCUCAAUUAGGACAAGCUUCUCUUUUUCUAAGAAUUUAUUAGAC
rnacentral:lncRNA from 1 species